GCUGAUGCUGAAGUCUCCGAAGCUUAUUAAAUACACUGAAUAAUUGCAGUCACAUAUUCAGUGUAUUUAAUAAGCUUCGGAGACUUCAGCAUCAGC